GCUUUUGCGCAGAGGCGAUAUCGUCACCGAUUAAGUUCUAUGUUGCUGAGGUGCGAUUAUUGCUAGUUCAAAACUUUAAACUUUUUAUAGAGUAAAUUUGUUAUUUUAAAUAUAUUUAAAAGACUGUUACUGACUGU